rnacentral:rRNA from 1 species
GACGAACGCUGGCGGCGUGCUUAACACAUGCAAGUCGAACGAAGUGGCGAACGUGUGAGUAACGCGUAAACAACCUGCCCUUCAGAGGGGCACAACAGUUAACAGCGACUGCUAAUACCGCAUACUGAAGGAGGGGAGUGCGUGUGUGUAGCUAGUUGGAGGGGUAACGGCCCACCAAGGCGAUGAUAAGUAGCCGGUCUGAGAGGAUGAACGGCCACAUUGGGACUGAGACACGGCCCAGACUCCUACGGGAGGCAGCAGUGGGGAAUCUUCCGCAAUGGACGAAAGUCUGACGGAGCAACGCCGCGUGAGUGAUGACGGCCUUCGGGUUGUAAAGCUCUGUUAAUCGGGACGCGGUACCGGAAUAGAAAGCCACGGCUAACUACGUGCCAGCAGCCGCGGUAAUUC